UACGUAGGUGGCAAGCGUUGUCCGGAUUUACUGGGCGUAAAGAGCGCGCAGGCGGUCGUGCAAGUCGCGUGUGAAAGCCCCCGGCUCAACUGGGGAGGGUCACGCGAUACUGCUCGACUCGAAGGCAGGAGAGGGAAGUGGAAUUCCCGGUGUAGCGGUGAAAUGCGUAGAUAUCGAGAGGAACACCUGCGGCGAAGGCGGGUUGCUGGGCUGACACUGACGCUGAGGCGCGAAAGCUAGGGGAGCGAACGGG
rnacentral:rRNA from 1 species